rnacentral:rRNA from 1 species
GACGAACGCUGGCGGCGUGCCUAAUACAUGCAAGUAGAACGCUGACUACUUUAGCUUGCUAGAGUAGAAGGAGUUGCGAACGGGUGAGUAACGCGUAGGUAACCUGCCUACUAGCGGGGGAGUAACUAUUGGAACGAUAGCUAAUACCGCAUAACAGUGUUUAACUACAUGUUAGAUGCUUGAAAGAAUGCAAAUAGCAUCACUAGUAGAUGGACCUGCGUUGUAUUAGCUAGUUGGUGGGGUAACGGGCCUACCAAGGCGACGAUACAUAGCCGACCCUGAGAGGGUGGAUCGGCCGACACUGGGACUGAGAUACGGCCCAG